CUACAAGAAUUACCUAAUACAGAAUCAUUAGUUAUUCAAAAUCUCAUCCAGUGUCUAAGAAAAGGAAAAUCUCUGAACUCAGUCUGCUAUAUCAUCAAAGACGGGAGCACUGCAGACCUUAAAUUUAUGCAGCAUCUGGUGGAAGAUGCUAGUGAGUCAACAGUUUCCUACCAAGAAUUUAUUUUGCUUCUACAGCAAAAAGUAUGCAAAUAGGACAUUACACAUUCCUUGACAUACUUCUUGUGGUACAUUUUGUAAGCAGUUCUGAUGCAUAAAAUGUUUAAUGAAAACAUAAUCCAGUUUUAUUUGUAAAUCUCAAGAUCUGUGUUACCAUUUGGAGAAAUGCCACAACUUCAUACAGGCAACAUAGGUUUGACACUCAACUAGUUCACAAUUAUUGGGCAAGUUACAGAUGUACUACACUGUGACAAUGUACGUCAGCUCAGUGAGGUCUCACUACGGAUUGAAGAAUUUAGUCUCAGAAGGAGAAUAGCUCUGUAAAAGUAUUACGAAUAAUAUCAUGGCUCACAGAACAAGAGCUCUCAGUCAGGAAAUCUGCUAGAAGGACAGUGUAUAUGGAUAUAAACAGUGAAACCUCAUACUUUCAAUGCAGACAAGAAAGUUAACAGAGGUGAGGUACUUUAGCAUGCAGUGUUUGUAUUAGACAAAUGAAAAGGAUCUUUGUUAAGGAAUGAAUAUGCUUAACAAGGAUGAAACAAAAAUAAAAUAAUGUGAUUUCACUUGU